rnacentral:rRNA from 1 species
CCUACGGGAGGCAGCAGUGAGGAAUAUUGGUCAAUGGACGAAAGUCUGAACCAGCCAUGCCGCGUGCAGGAUGACUGCCCUAUGAGUUGUAAACUGCUUUUAUAAGAGGGUAAACGCAGACACGCGUACCUGUCUGCAUGUAUCGUAUGAAUAAGUAUCGGCUAACUCCGUGCCAGCAGCCGCGGUAAUACGGAGGAUUCAAGCGUUAUCCGGAUUUAUUGGGUUUAAAGGGUGCGUAGGCGGUCUGAUAAGUUAGAGGUGAAAUCCCGAGGCUCAACUUCGGAAUUGCAUCUGAUACUGUUCGGCUAGAGAAUAGUUGCGGUAGGCGGAAUGUAUGGUGUAGCGGUGAAAUGCUUAGAGAUCAUACAGAACACCGAUUGCGAAGGCAGCUUACCAAGCUACUACUGACGUUGAGGCACGAAAGCGUGGGGAGCAAACAGGAUUAGAUACCCCAGUAGUC